UGUAUCAGUGAUGAGCAACAAUCACCAUCUUUCAAAUGAGUCUUGGCCAUGAGACCAGCCCAUGUACUGCUCUGAGACCUG
ensembl:snoRNA SNORD33 Small nucleolar RNA Z195/SNORD33/SNORD32 family